rnacentral:rRNA from 1 species
GACAGAGGGUGCAAACGUUGUUCGGAAUUACUGGGCGUAAAGCGCGUGUAGGCGGCUAAGUAAGUCGGGCGUGAAAUCCCACGGCUCAACCGUGGAAGUGCACUCGAAACUGCAUAGCUAGAGUCCUGGAGAGGAAGGUGGAAUGCUUGGUGUAGAGGUGAAAUUCGUAGAUAUCAGGAGGAAUACCGGUGGCGAAGGCGUCCAUCUGGCCCGAUACUGACGCUGAGGCGCGAAAGCUAGGGGAGCGAACGGG